rnacentral:rRNA from 1 species
UUUUCAGCUAGAGUAUGAUAGAGGAAAGCAGAAUUUCUAGUGUAGAGGUGAAAUUCGUAGAUAUUAGAAAGAAUACCAAUUGCGAAGGCAGNUUUCUGGAUCAUUACUGACACUGAGGAACGAAAGCAUGGGUAGCGAAGAGGAUUAGAUACCCUCGUAGUCCAUGCCGUAAACGAUGUGUGUUAGACGUUGGAAAUUUAUUUUCAGUGUCGCAGGGAAACCGAUAAACACACCGCCUGGGGAGUACGACCGCAAGGUUAAAACUCAAAUGAAUUGACGGGGACCCGCACAAGUAGUGGAGCAUGUGGUUUAAUUCGAAGAUACGCGCAGAACCUUACCAACACUUGACAUGUUCGUCGCGACUCUAAGAGAUUAGAGUUUUCGGUUCGGCCGGACGAAACACAGGUGCUGCAUGGCUGUCGUCAGCUCGUGUCGUGAGAUGUUGGGUUAAGUCCCGCAACGAGCGCAACCCUCACUUUUAGUUGCCAUCAUUAAGUUGGGCACUCUGAAAGAACUGCCAGUGAUAAGCUGGAGGAAGGUGGGGAUGACGUCAAGUCCUCAUGGCCCUUACGUGUUGGGCUACACACGUGCUACAAUGGCAUCUACAACAGGAAGCAAAACGGCAACGUUAAGCAAAUCCCGAAAAGAUGCCUCAGUUCGGAUUGCACUCUGCAACUCGAGUGCAUGAAGCUGGAAUUACUAGUAAUCGUGGAUCAGCGUGCCACGGUGAAUGCGUUCCCGGGUCUUGUACACACCGCCCGUCACACCAUGGGAGUUGGUUCUACCUUAAGGCAAGGUUUUAAACCCUUGACCACGGUAUAGUCAGCGACUGGGGUGAAGUCGUAACAAGGUAGCC